rfam:Brassica oleracea var. oleracea cultivar TO1000 chromosome C6, whole genome shotgun sequence
GGAAUAUAAGAACCUGUCUCUUAACUUUUAAUUAAAAAAAAAGAACCGGCUCUUAAAUAAGAGAUUUAAGAACCGGUUUUUAACUUUUUUAGUUAAAAGUUAAGAGACGGGUUCUUAUAUUCC